GCAGGGAAAUGACACAUUCAGUCUCUGUGGAGGAAGGAAGGAAUGGCUUGUCUUUUGUGUACCUACAAUGGACAAAUUAUCUCCGAGAUCUUCUAAGGAAAGUCAUUGAUGUUGGUUAGGGAGGCAGCUGCUUAUCCAUCUUUACAGUGCAGGCAACGCGCUGGCCGGUAGCCAGUAAAACAAGUGACAGUGAGAAAAUUGUGGCCAACAGAAUCAAGACCAAACCGGUGGGGCUCUUUUGGAGUGUUGAGUGAAUGAAGAUGAAAGACACAAGAAAUGUACCAGAUGCAAAGCGGAGAUCCUCAGAGACAAUCUGGAUACCUCGAAAGACUUUUGGGAAACUGGCAGUUUAUCACAUCACUGCCACCAGUUGGAGUUACAAACGAUCACUGUAGAAAAUGUUGAAUAAUGUCAGGCCUCGUACUGAUCCCUGCAGAACCCCACGAGAAACAGCUGCAUUUGAAAAUGAUUCCCUGCUGACACCUGCUUUUUGAGAUCUAUCAGUUAGCCAUUUUAAAUCCAUUUAACAUGUCCUCUGUUGAUAUUUCAUCAUGCUAUUUUUAUCAGAAGGUCAUGCAGCACUAAGCCAAAUGCCUUACAAAAGUCUAAAUUUAUUACACCUACACAGUUACCUUUACCAACCAAAUUGAACUAAAACCUCUCCAACGCAUCAUCAAGGAUCUACAACCUAUCCUGAAGGACGACCCAUCACUCUCACAGAUCUUGGGAGACAGGCCAGUCCUUGCUCACAGACAGCCCCCCAACCUGA